UGAAGUACUAGCAAAUAUACACACAGAUGUAGUCUCUGCGCUGAAGGGCCUUGCAUUGUUCAAAGGUCAUCCUAAAAUAGGCAUGCAAGUAGGCAAAUAAGCUCACAAAUAAGAUAAUUUUAGAUGAUGAUAAGAGGCCAAAAGCAAAUAAAACAAGGCAAGAGCGUAACAGAGUGAACAGCAUCAGAGUGGGUGUUCAAGAAUAGUCUCUGUAGAGUGACCGCAUGAGGAUAAGAAGUCAGCAAGAGGACAAGGAGCCAGCAAGAGGAGAUGCUUGGGAGGCCAGCCUUGGAAGGACUGAAGACAGAAGAGCUGCAGGCAGAGGAAGAGGAUAGGAAGUAGCUGAGGAAAAGAGAAUCAUCAUCCACUCCAUCUGGCAGAGUUCAGCAUAUGCUGCACUGGGAUUUUUGUAUUAAAAGAGCUGAAGAGAUUUUUUGAUUAGAAGGAUUAUUCUAGGAGUUUUCCACAAGGAAUCAGCAGCCUGUGGUUAUGUUCUGCACCUAUUAAAAGAUGGAGUUGUAAAACUGAUGUGUAUGUAAUCUCUUUUCAGGUUUCCAAGGCAACGGUGGCAGCAAUUCUGUGAAUAGCUCUUCCAUUUUUCCUUCAAGACUUUCAGGCUGUGAAAUUGUUUUGCUUUCAAAAACUAUUCUUUCUUUAAAAAAUAAUACAUGCAUUUAGAUUCAUUGUGAGAAGAUCUUUAUAAGUUAGGCAUAUUUCCAGGAUGUUAGUCCAAUAAGUAAACAGUUUUGCUACUAACAGGCUGUGCAAUUUUGGGUAAGCCAGUUAUCCUCCGUAAGUUUCAAUUCCUUCAUCUACAAAAUAUAAACAAAAAUCAUAUCUCUACAAUAGGGUUGUGAGAGAUGUAUGUGAAAUGUUUGGCACAAUCUAUGGCUUGUGAUUAUGAUUAGUGAUUGUUCUGAAUGAAAAUUUGGUCAGUUGGGAUGCCAGGUGAGGUUGUAACUGUUCAAAAUGAAGGCAAUGCCCCUUCAGCAUCAACAAAGUCUGUAGACAUGCCCCUCCUAUUAAUCCUGAUAUUGAAAAUGUGUGUUUUCUCAUUUUUUCCUAAGUGUUUGUUUGUAUCUUUGUAUUUAAAGUACAUCAUGUAUAAAUAGCAUGUAUUUGAGUUUUGUUUUGUUUACUCAAUAAAAAGUUCUGCCUUUAAUUUGAGUGUUUGCACC
ensembl:lncRNA